UCAGUGAAUUAUUCAGGGACCAAAUAGCCUGAAGUCAAGACUGGUUGUCUGUGAAAAGGUUUCCUGUAGCUCCAGAAAGCAACCAGGUCCCAGCUCUUCCAGCAUCAGACAUCAGGAGAAGCCUCUUUCUGCCAGUCACUUGAAUGCCCUGGUGCAGGACACAGUCAAGGGAUAUGGUGAACAGAUCUGUCACUUGGUUCAGUGCUCUGGCACUGGUGCCAGCAGGCUGGAGGAAAUUUAACAAGAUAUUGAAAACUUUCCUGUAGGAUAAACUGCUGACAGUUCAGAAGAAUUGGGUGAGUACUUGUCAAACUGAGC
rnacentral:lncRNA from 1 species